CAUGACAGAACUGUGGGGACACGUAAGGAAAGCGGAAGCCGGGAAUGGAAAGCCCGGUGCAAGCGGGGUACCAGCCACUUUGGCAAAUCCGGGUGGCAAUGGGAAGCCGUGAUGCGGAGCGAAAUAAAGUAGCGAAGUCCGUGAGCCAUGCGUCAAGAAAAGCCGCUAUCGUUUAUACCGUGCCCGUACCGUAAACCGACACAGGUGGAAGAGGAGAGAAUCCUAAGGCCGGCGGAAGAAGCAUUGUCAAGGAACUCGGCAAAAUGGCCCCGUAACUUAGGGAUAAGGGGUGCCUGGGAAACCUGGCCGCAGAGAAUAGGCUCGAGCAACUGUUUAGCAAAAACACAGGUCUAUGCGAAACCGAAAGGUGAGGUAUAUGGGCUGACGCCUGCCCGGUGCUGGAAGGUUAAGAGGAGAGGUUAGCGCAAGCGAAGCUUUGAAUUUAAGCCCCAGUAAACGGCGGCCGUAACGAUAACGGUCCUAAGGUAGCGAAAUUCCUUGUCGGGUAAGUUCCGACCCGCACGAAAGGCGUAAUGAUUUGAGCGCUGUCUCGACAAUGCAUCCGGUGAAAUUGAAGUACCAGCGAAGAUGCUGGUUACCUGCGCCAGGACGGAAAGACCCCAUGGAGCUUUACUCCAGUCUGGUACUGGGACUCGGUAUUGCAUGUACAGGAUAGGUGGGAGGCUAGGAGAUGGUAACGCCAGUUGCCAUGGAGCCGCUGUUGGGAUACCACCCUUGCAGUAUUGGGUUUCUAACCAGCCGCCGUGACCCGGCGGUGGGACAAUGCCAGACGGGGAGUUUGACUGGGGCGGUCGCCUCCGAAAGGGUAUCGGAGGCGCCCAAAGGUUCCCUCAGAAUGGACGGAAACCAUUCGAAGAGUGCAAAGGCAGAAGGGAGCUUGACUGCGACACCGACGGGUGGAGCAGGUACGAAAGUAGGGCUUAGUGAUCCGGUGGUAUUAAGUGGGAAUGCCAUCGCUCAACGGAUAAAAGCUACCCUGGGAUAACAGGCUUAUCACUCCCAAGAGUUCACAUCGACGGAGUGGUUUGGCACCUCGAUGUCGGCUCAUCGCAUCCUGGGGCUGUAGUAGGUCCCAAGGGUUGGGCUGUUCGCCCAUUAAAGCGGUACGCGAGCUGGGUUCAGAACGUCGUGAGACAGUUCGGUCCCUAUCCGGCGUGGGCGUAGGAUAUCUGAGAGGAGCUGUCCUUAGUACGAGAGGACCGGGAUGGACGGGCCGCUGGUGCAUCGGUUAGACUGCCAAGUCUACGGCCGAGUAGCCAAGCCCGGAAGGGAUAAACGCUGAAGGCAUCUAAGCGUGAAGCCCCCCUUAAGAUGAGAUAUCCCAUUCGUAAAGAAGUAAACCCCCUUGAAGACGACGAGGUAGAUAGGGCAGAGGUGGAAGUAUGGCAACACAUGGAGCUGACUGUUACUAAUCGGGUGAGGGCUUGAUC
rnacentral:rRNA from 1 species